rnacentral:rRNA from 1 species
UGAGUAACCUGCCCUUCACUCUGGGAUAACUCCGGGAAACCGGGGCUAAUACUGGAUAUGACUCGAACAGGCAUCUGUUUCGGGUGGAAAGAUUUAUUGGUGGAGGAUGGACUCGCGGCCUAUCAGCUUGUUGGUGAGGUAAUGGCUCACCAAGGCGACGACGGGUAGCCGGUCUGAGAGGGUGAUCGGCCACACUGGGACUGAGACACGGCCCAGACUCCUACGGGAGCA